GUGAAAUAUCAAUGCUCAUAUAUUAGGGAUGUCCAUGAACUUCUGAAAUCAGAACUUGUUCCUAGUUUGAAGCUGAAGUAUUCAUAUCUUUUGUAUCAGUUGUCCCUCUACUAACCAACUUUUAGUCAUGAUACAAGAGUUGAAUUUGCAUUCAUUUGCUUCGCAAGUCGCAACAAACUGAACAAAGUACUAAACCAUAAAACCUGUGUAAUGAUCGAGCGUCUUGAGCGACAUAUCCAAGUCUUUUAAACGUCGCAUACGAACAAAUCUCACUGAGUUUUUUCCACAGAAAGUAUUGAUCCAUUUGAUCGAUCGCCGUACUUUGAGAAAAGCUUGAAAUGCAAAAUUCACAGGGAAGAUUGAAGAAUUUCGUGCUAAAAACCUAAAAACUGUUGGUCGUCGAGUUUCACCUCUAGAAUUCACCCCCCGGAUCAGAAAAGUAACAAUUACGUAAUGUUCGAG